AUUGAACGCUGGCGGCAGGCCUAACACAUGCAAGUCGAACGGUAACAGGAAACAGCUUGCUGUUUCGCUGACGAGUGGCGGACGGGUGAGUAAUGUCUGGGAAACUGCCUGAUGGAGGGGGAUAACUACUGGAAACGGUAGCUAAUACCGCAUAACGUCGCAAGACCAAAGAGGGGGACCUUCGGGCCCCUUGCCAUCAGAUGUGCCCAGGUGGGAUUAGCGAGGAGGUGGGGUAACGGCUCACCUAGGCGACGCUCCCUAGCUGGUCUGAGAGGAUGACCAGGCCCACUGGAACGGAGGCACGGGCCAGACGCCGAAGGGAGGGAGGAGUGGGGAAUAUUGGACAAUGGGCGCAAGCCUGAUGCAGCCAUGCCGCGUGUAUGAAGAAGGCCUUCGGGUUGUAAAGUACUUUCAGCGGGGAGGAAGGGAGUAAAGUUAAUACCUUUGCUCAUUGACGUUACCCGCAGAAGAAGCACCGGCUAACUCCGUG
rnacentral:rRNA from 1 species